GAAAUGUAGCUGAUGGGCACCUAACUACAUAGGAUAAAGACGAGCUUAAUUAGGCAUCAUAGAUGGCCAGAAGGGAGUGCCAGAACUGGUAUACAUGCUUCCUUGGAGUUUUGAAAGAGGGAUGGAGGAUCUGUUGCAAAGGUGAUGGUGGAACAGAAAGCAGAGAAAGAGUGAAAAUUCUAGAGGAAUACAAGGCUGAGUUUGAAGCAUGGAAGACCCAAGGGACCACAAAUCUGAUGAGGAAGAAGGCUGUUGCAGGGAUAUGGGAUGAAAAGGUGUCUGUGAAGGAGGAGGGAUAAGUGAAGAGAAGUCUUAGGAAGUUUUUCCCAUUUUAUAUUUCACCUAGUUCCUGAAAAAGCCCUGGCCACUUGGACUUCCAGUCGCUUUAAGUCUGCUAUGAGAGGGUGCUGUUGAGCCCCUUUGGGACUGUGUAAGUGUGGUUAUAAAAAAGGCAGUUUCCCAAGAAAGUAACAACCACAGGUUUAAAAGACCAAUUAAACCAUAUUUUAUUGAA